AAGUCGUAACAAGGUUUCCGUAGGUGAACCUGCGGAAGGAUCAUUAACACGUAUCCAACGUUAAACCCCCUCCGUGAACCUCAAACGCAGUGCCUUGGCGCUAAGAGGGCUUAAUCAACCCAACGCGGGUGUAGCCAAUGCGUUACCCAAGAUAAUGCACCAAGUCGGUUAUUUUUCCCCAAGCAAUCAGUGAGUGAAAGUGUCAUUGGUUGUGUAAGGAUUUCGCUUGACGAUCGCUAGAGGCCGCUCACCGGCCGGUGGAUUAACUUACAGAUCCUUCAAUGGAUUCCUCCCCGACCCCAAUUUUUACUACCGCUCCGCGCUUAACAGCGUGGGGCACUUAAGAAAAACGUACUAAACAACUGUUAACAAUGGAUAUCUUGGUUCUC
rnacentral:misc_RNA from 1 species